rnacentral:rRNA from 1 species
GGACCCGCACAAGCGGUGGAUGAUGUGGUUUAAUUCGAUGCAACGCGAAAAACCUUACCCACCUUUGACAUGUACGGAAUCCUUUAGAGAUAGAGGAGUGCUCGAAAGAGAGCCGUAACACAGGUGCUGCAUGGCUGUCGUCAGCUCGUGUCGUGAGAUGUUGGGUUAAGUCCCGCAACGAGCGCAACCCUUGCCAUUAGUUGCUACGAAAGGGCACUCUAAUGGGACUGCCGGUGACAAACCGGAGGAAGGUGGGGAUGACGUCAAGUCCUCAUGGCCCUUAUAGGUGGGGCUACACACGUCAUACAAUGGCUGGUACAGAGGGUUGCCAACCCGCGAGGGGGAGCCAAUCCCAUAAAGCCAGUCGUAGUCCGGAUCGCAGUCUGCAACUCGACUGCGUGAAGUCGGAAUCGCUAGUAAUCGCGGAUCAGAAUGUCGCGGUGAAUACGUUCCCGGGUCUUGUACACACCGCCCGUCACACCAUGGGAGCGGGUUCUG